UCGAUGAAGAACGCAGCGAAAUGCGAUAAGUAAUGUGAAUUGCAGAAUUCAGUGAAUCAUCGAAUCUUUGAACGCACCUUGCGCUCCUUGGUAUUCCGAGGAGCAUGCCUGUUUGAGUGUCAUUAAAUUAUCAACCUCUUCUUUAGAGGCUUGGAUUUGGAGUGUUGCUGGCUCAUUGUUGGCUCCUCUUAAAUGCAUCAAGCUUGUUGUAGGCUUUGGUUUGAUAAUAUCUAUGCCAUCGCUGUAAUGCAAAACAAACAAACAACCUUUGAAAUUGACCUCAAAUCAGGUAGGACUACCCGCUGAACUUAA
rnacentral:rRNA from 1 species